rnacentral:rRNA from 1 species
GAUGAACGCUGGCGGCGUGCCUAAUACAUGCAAGUCGAGCGAACAGAUGAGGCGUUCGCUCCUCUGCCGUUAGCGGCGGACGGGUGAGUCACACGUGGAUAACCUACCUAUGAGGCUGAGAUCACUUAGGGAAACCGGAUACCAUACCGGAUAAUAUAGUGAACGGCAUGGAUCUUCAGAGCAAGCCGGUUUUGCUGACCCUUAUAGAUGUUUCCGAGUCGGAUUAGCUAGUUGGUACGGUAACGGCCUACCAAGGCAACGAUGCGUAACCGACCUGAGAGGGUGAUCAGCCACACUGGAACUGAGACACGGUCCAGACUCCUACGGGAGGCAGCAGUGGGGAAUCUUGCGCAAUGGGCGAAAGCCUGACGGAGCAACGCCGCGUGAGUGAUGAAGGUCUUCGGAUCGUAAAACUCUUUUAUUAGGGAAGAACAAAUGUGUGAGUAACUAUGCACGUCUUGACGGUACCUAAUCAGAAAGCCACGGCUAACUACGUG